rnacentral:lncRNA from 1 species
GCACCUCUGUGCACUUAUGAAUCAGAACUCACUUUCCUUUAAAUUCAGAGUUUUCUAAUGUUUGUAAUUGCUGCACAUUCAUGUGCAUUUAAUAAACUAACAAACUCUAAGAGACUGGAGAAUAAACAAGAAUCAUUCUGAUUGCGUGUGUGUGUCUUUAUACUAAUCUACUGUUUUUAACUCAUACAUUUGACAGACAGACAACGAGGAGCCAAGUGAUUCAUACAUAAUCCUAAACACAGGGUAUCAGCCCCCGAAGGCUCAACUGUUCCCCACACCUAGUCCACACUUUGACAGCUGCGUCUGUUGUCGUGUUCUCGUGGGUUGAAAAGCCAGUUCAGGUAGCCACAGGAUUUGAGUUCUUCUUUCUUAUCUUCUUUCUCCUUCCUCUCCACCCACUGUCGGCCCGGUGGUGUGAUCAAGGCACAACGUGAGAUUUUCACCCCUGUCAACAUUUUCUGGAGGCGCCGCUGCCCGUAGAAAAACUGGGUCGUUGAAAACGUGUUGUAACACUUGUAACUGAAGCGUGUGCCAAGUGUGCCAACAGGAAUAAACAGGGCAUGGAACUCUGUAACACAACUCACUGCUUCACACUAAGUUUGUCAUUUUAGGACACACUCCUACGGUCUCACAUCACUUCACACAUCUGGAUGAAGUCAAACGAGGCUCCUCCCAGUUCUUUUGUAUUUAAACGCACUGGGGAUCCACGGGUCCAUCUACCACAUAGACUCUUACUGCAGAGAGAAAAUGUCAGACGGCCAAUCCAACAUCCCCCCUGCUGGAAACAUCCCCCCUGCAGCAAACCGUCCUCCCCAGGCAGGAGAUAAAGGAAAACAUGGCGACAAGCACUGUGGUGAAGGGCAAGGCCAUGGGCACGGGCACGGGCAAGGCCACGGGCACGGGCAUGGGCAAGGCCAGGGGCACGGCCAAGGUCACGGGAAAGAAAAAGGUCAAGGCCAACAGGGUGGAAACUGAGAAAAGGUGAACACAGGUGAGACAUGAAGUCCAUUAAAACCAUGAGGAACUCUUUUCUUAAUCAGCUUCGUACUCCGAGUGAUUCUACGCUCACUUUCUGCCACAGUCUGUGUCUGUUGUGAUAUUGAAAGGCGUCUCUUAUUGAUGUGGAACAUCUGUAACAGGUAAAGAUGUAAAUGCUGCUCGAGUGUCAGGAUAAGUUACGAAC